UUAAACUGGUUUGGGAAAACCAAAUAUAUUAUAUAUUUUGCUUUGUUCAAAAUAAGGUUUUCUAAUAAAUUAUGUUUUUAUCAGAUAUGACAGAAUCUUUUUUAAAAUCUCUUCAAUAUGCUUUUAUUGCUUUUGAGAGGUUUUGUUACUUUGAGUAAAAUUAAGUGUUCAUAACAGACGGGUAGUCAUGAUUGAGUUCAUUGUGU
rnacentral:rRNA from 1 species